rnacentral:rRNA from 1 species
AUUGAACGCUGGCGGCAGGCCUAACACAUGCAAGUCGAGCGAGCGGCGGACGGGUGAGUAAUUUCUGGGAAACUGCCUGCUGGAGGGGGAUAACUACUGGAAACGGUAGCUAAUACCGCGUACCAUCAAAUCUUCCCCGAUGGGAUUAGCUGGUAGGUGGGGUAACGGCUUACCUAGGCGACGAUCCCUAGCUGGUCUGAGAGGAUGACCAGCCACACUGGAACUGAGACACGGUCCAGACUCCUACGGGAGGCAGCAGUGGGGAAUAUUGCACAAUGGGCGAAAGCCUGAUGCAGCCAUGCCGCGUGUGUGAAGAAGGCCUUCGGGUUGUAAAGCACUUUAAGCUGGGAGGCGUUACCCGCAGAAGAAGCACCGGCUAACUCCGUGCCAGCCGCCGCGGUAAUAC